AGAGUACAGGUAUUCGUUGAGAAUGAGAGUACUGAGCGUGACCACUUCAAGCAGUCAUAAGGAAGUCUACCUUCUCGUCGAUGACUAGCUCGAUGCUGUAGUUGUAUGUCUAGUUCUUUGAUCUGAGGUGCAUCGACAGUUCACCUUGAGUGUGUUAUAGUUUGACUACAUCAUAACUCGAUCUCCUAGCCAUUCAAAAUCCUAAGGUGUAUGUUGGCUGUAGCAUAUUCAUUGUAGGAACUAGGUCACACCAAGAUGGGAUCUAUCAACCUCGAUAGAUGAGAGGAGAAGUCCUAUGAUAAUUAGAAAGAUCGAGUCUGUAAGCC
rnacentral:lncRNA from 1 species